rnacentral:rRNA from 1 species
UAACACGUGGGCAACCUGCCUGUAAGUUGGGGAUAACUCCGGGAAACCGGGGCUAAUACCGAAUGAUAAGAUGUGGCGCAUGCCACGCCUUUGAAAGAUGGUUUCGGCUAUCGCUUACAGAUGGGCCCGCGGUGCAUUAGCUAGUUGGUAGGGUAAUGGCCUACCAAGGCAACGAUGCAUAGCCGACCUGAGAGGGUGAUCGGCCACACUGGGACUGAGACACGGCCCAGACUCCUACGGGAGGCAGCAGUAGGGAAUCUUCCGCAAUGGACGAAAGUCUGACGGAGCAACGCCGCGUGUAUGAAGAAGGUUUUCGGAUCGUAAAGUACUGUUGUUAGAGAAGAACAAGGAUAAGAGUAACUGCUUGUCCCUUGACGGUAUCUAACCAGAAAGCCACGGCUAACUACGUGCCAGCAGCCGCGGUAAUACGUAGGUGGCAAGUGUUGUCCGGAUUUAUUGGGCGUAAAGCGCGCGCAGGCGGUCUUUUAAGUCUGAUGUGAAAGCCCCCGGCUUAACCGGGGAGGGUCAUUGGAAACUGGAAGACUGGAGUGCAGAAGAGGAGAGUGGAAUUCCACGUGUAGCGGUGAAAUGCGUAGAUAUGUGGAGGAACACCAGUGGCGAAGGCGACUCUCUGGUCUGUAACUGACGCUGAGGCGCGAAAGCGUGGGGAGCAAACAGGAUU